AUCGAACGCUGGCGGCAGGCCUAACACAUGCAAGUCGAACGAGUGGCGGACGGGUGAGUAAUGUCUGGGAAACUGCCUGAUGGAGGGGGAUAACUACGGGAAACGGUAGCUAAUACCGCAUACCAUCAGAUGUGGCCUGAGGGGAUUAGCUAGUUGGGGGGGUAACGGCUCACCAGGGAGACGAUCCCUAGCUGGUCUGAGAGGAUGACCCGCCACACUGGAACUGCGACACGGUCCAGACUCCUACGGGAGGCAGCAGUGGGGAAUAUUGCACAAUGGGCGCAAGCCUGAUGCAGCCAUGCCGCGUGUAUGAAGAAGGCCUUCGGGUUGUAAAGUACUUUCAGCGGGGAGGCGUUACCCGCAGAAGAAGCACCGGCUAACUCCGUGCCAGCAGCCGCGGUAAUAC
rnacentral:rRNA from 1 species